rnacentral:misc_RNA from 1 species
AAGUCGUAACAAGGUUUCCGUAGGUGAACCUGCGGAAGGAUCAUUAUUGAAUUAUCAAUUACGUAUGUGAACCAGCUGAACCACAUUCUUUGUGGGUAGGCGUAACCGCUGACGGACUUUGAGCCGUCAGUCUUUUUUUACCAACCCUUUAUCAUUGACUUUGACUGAAAUCUUUAAAACUUAAAGACAACUUUUAGCAACGGAUCUCUAGGCUCUC